rnacentral:rRNA from 1 species
CCUACGGGUGGCAGCAGUGGGGAAUAUUGCACAAUGGGCGAAAGCCUGAUGCAGCAACGCCGCGUGAGCGAUGAAGGCCUUCGGGUCGUAAAGCUCUGUCCUCAAGGAAGAGAAUGACGGUACUUGAGGAGGAAGCCCCGGCUAACGACGUGCCAGCAGCCGCGGUAAUACGUAGGGGGCUAGCGUUAUCCGGAAUUACGGGGCGUAACGGGGGCGUAGGUGGUUUCUUAAGGCAGAGGUGAAAGGCUACGGCUCAACCGUAGUAAGCCUUUGAAACUGGGGAACUUGAGUGCAGGAGAGGAGAUUGUCUUUCCUCGUGUAGCGGUGCAAUGCGUCGAUAUUAGGAGGAACACCAGUUGCGAAGGCGGCUCUCUGGACUGUACCUGACACUGCGGCACGACAGCGUGGGGAGCAAACAGGAUUAGAUACCCCUGUAGUC